rnacentral:rRNA from 1 species
UACGGAGGGUGCAAGCGUUAUCCGGAUUCACUGGGCUUAAAGGGUGCGUAGGCGGGCAGGUAAGUCCGUGGUGAAAUCCCCGAGCUUAACUCGGGAACUGCCAUGGAUACUAUUUGUCUUGAAUAUUGUGGAGGUAAGCGGAAUAUGUCAUGUAGCGGUGAAAUGCUUAGAUAUGACAUAGAACACCAAUUGCGAAGGCAGCUGGCUACACGAAUAUUGACACUGAUGCACGAAAGCGUGGGGAUCAAACAGG